AUGCACAUGAUGAGUCAACUCGGAUUCCCCUUCAAGACUAUUGGGUGAUGACAACUCGAGUUUUCUGAUGCU